rnacentral:lncRNA from 1 species
UGAUUUAAACGACCCAGAGAAAAUACCCAAUUUUACUAUCCAUACUAAGAAACAAAAAGGCAACUAACUCGACGCCAUUUUUCUGCUAUCUAUAAAUAAAUAGAUUGACCUAUCUGGAUUCCCCAACGAUUUCUCUGGGAAAACGUGCCUUCCUUGCCGUCAGAUCGCACACAUCGUUGAUAUUUAUCAAAUUGGUAUUGUUCGUAACAUUUUUAGUCCAUCUCCAGCAUAUAAUAAAAAGAUUUUAACUAUUUUGACUAAUUUCAAAUUUACGGGCCCGGAAGUUGACUGUUUUUCCCGAACUUUUGUUAAAGGGAAGUAAUAUUUUCCCGGACUUUUUCGGAACAUCUCUCCAAGUACGAAAGAAAAUAACAAAGUGAAACGAUGACUUCCGAACUAAUACUAUAUGUUAACAAACAGAUAUGAUGAACAACGAACAAUAUCAAGCCCCUCAUUUGAUUGUUAGCGGUCAUAAUCUUUUAAUUUUCAAAAAUCACACAGUUUUGAUUUUAUGUUAGAAAGGGGAACUGCAAAAUUUGUAAAUAUUGCCCCCCCCUUUUUUUUACUUCAGUUAACAUGACCCAUGUUUUGUAAUGAUUAAAACAAAGUCAAUAACAUUUUCGUGGAAAGAAAAUAUUAGUCAAU